AUACAAUCAUCACAUCACUCUUGAAUUUUUCAUUAUCUGGAAAAGAUGUCACGUGUCCUGUUUUCUGUAGCAUUGGUCGUCUUAGUGUCUCAGGUGCUUGGAAAAAGUGCACUGGAUUCAAGCAUAGAGAAGCGAGAUGGUGGAAUGGCUUGUGGUUUAUGUGCGAGUAAAUGCCCAGGAGGAUAUACAAAACCUGUGGAUGAAAUGGGGUGUCUGAAGUGUGAUGUUUGUAUAAAAGAUG